UCGUUCCGGUUAGUUCUUACAAUCACCGUAGUUGUAUAUGCUUUCAAAUGUAUCUCAAUAGAGUCUUAGGAGCUUAAAUUAAUUUUAUUUUGUCCUGUCACUCGCGACAAAAAUGGCUAACGCCUUAAUAGCUAACCUUACCUGACUCAUAGGCACCAUUCAAAUGAGCCAGCAGUUCACUGAUCAGGAAGUACAAACACGGAAACUUCUUCUGCUCCAACCUUGUUAUUGCCAGCUGUAUUUUGAAAUCACCCAGUUUUUAGACUAAGAACAACAUUCAAACGCCGGUAACAAGGAAGAUAUGCUUGCCACUUGGUGACAGAGCAGUACAGUGGAGCAGCUAUGGUGAAGAUUUUCAUCGGGAACCUUUCUCAGCAUGCUGGGAAGGAUGAAGUAGAGGCUCUCUUCACUCAGUAUGGCACGGUUACAGAAUGUGCCAAAUACAAAAACUAUGCUUUUGUCCAUAUGGAGGACCGUAAGUCUGCCACCAAAGCCAUCCGCGAGCUCCACCUGUACAAGCUGAACGGUAGGCCCAUCAAUGUGGAGCUCAGCAGAGGGAGGAACCAGGGCCCUGUGAAGAUCCACAUUGCCAAUGUAGAAAAGGGAGCUGAUGACGAGCUCCGUGCUCUCUUUGAGGAGUAUGGCACAGUCACAGAGUGUUCCAUUGUCAAGGACUUUGCCUUCGUGCACAUGGCCAAUUCUGACGAGGCCAUGGAUGCCAUAAAAGGCCUGGAUAACACAGAGUUCCAGGGAAAGCGCAUACAUGUUCAGAUAUCAAAAAGCAGACCCAGAGGUGCACCCGAGGAGGAGGCCUAUCCACCUCCCCCAGGUAGAGGAGGCUAUUACCCUCCCCGCUACCCAGGGGAGAGGCCCGAGCCUCCCUACAGAGGCCGCAUGACUGCUUACCCUCCGCUUCCGCCGCCCCCUCCCCUGAGGCGAGCAGCUUAUCCCGACCGUGGCUAUGGCGAGCGGGACGGCUAUGGGGUGGUCGAUUACUAUGAGAAAUACAGAGCCCGUCCUUACAGCACGGCAGGCUACGAUGACAGGCGUGCCAUCCCCCCUCCUCCGCCUCCUCCCUCGGCACUGGUUAAAGAGCAUCUCGGAAUGGGGUCCCUUGACCCAUAUGAGCGGCGCCCGCUCCCCCAUGCUCCUCCGACCUACAUGGCCAGGGACCGAAGCCCCAUCAGGCGAGCACCCCUACCGCCUGCUCCGUCGGCUGGUAACGGGUACUCCUACGAGCGAUCCCGACUCUCUCCAAUGUAUGCAGCUCCCCGGCCCAGGGACUCCUUUUCAGAGAGAGUGCCGCCACCGCCACCACCACCUCGCUAUGCAGGCUAUUAGGCCCCUGAGUGUGUAAUACAAGGUUGAUAAACUCUAUGCAGGAGAUGCCAGCUCAUGGUAAGUCCUCCUUGGAAGACGUCCAGCGUCCCCUCAGAAACGAGGUAGAUAUUGUUUGAGCAGUACUGCUUAACACUUAUUACUAACACAAUAAAUUGUUUCCUGUCUCCCCCUUGUGUUCUUAGAUUCAUACUACAGGUUUCCACACUUUUAAUAAAGUCUAAAUUUUAAAGUUGUAAUUUUUUUUUUUUUUUAGGAAAAGCAAAUACUGGAGUUUGUACUUCAUCUUUAAAUCAGGCUCAUAGAAUUUGGUCGUAAAAAAUUGCAAAGGUGCAGUAAAUUUUAAGUAAAUCAUUUUAAAGUUGUGUAGUUGGUGCUUAUGUUUAAUUAUGUAUUAUUAAAAUUUGGCAUUGCAGCCUAGGUAGGCAGUAAUGGAAGAAUGUUUUUGACUUCAUCAGUGUUGAGUGGAAUCGCUGACCCUGUGUCUUUGUUCACAGGGCUGCCUCUGCUCCGGCGACUGUAAUGGGUCUUGAAUUCACAGGAUUUGCUGGUUUCUGAACAUUACAGGAUCAGACGGCGCUGUGGUUACAGGAAGUGGGUUUGGGGUGAAUCUUCCAGUUCAGUCCUCAGAAAACCUGCUUGGUUACAUGCAGCUGGUGGCACCAAAACAGUGAGGUUGGACUCAGUCGUACGGGUUACAUUUUGGGUUGAUUCUUACUGUCUCAAGACUUCUUAAACUUGAAAGAGAAACUUAAAAAAAAAACAAAAAAAAAAACGAGGGUCCUCUAACCUUUCACCUUGCUACCUAAUUGUAACUCAGUUUUGGUACAGUCCAUAAAGCCUGGGAUGUUCACUCAAAACCUAUGAGUGCAUCACUUGUUUUGUUAAAAAAUCAUAUUUUAUAACAUGGGCCCUUUCAUUAUGAUUUUUUAAAAUGGUAAACCUUAGUAAAUAAACACAUUUUUGACACCAGGGGUUUCUGAAUGCUGUUCUUCAGUCGCUGGAGUCUUUGCUGUUAAUCCCAGGUGGUUUAUUGUGAUUGUGGAAAGAUACACAGAUGUUGAUUUGAUCCAUCCAGCAGCUCUGAGCAUGCUUUGGACUGGGCUGUCUAAGAUGUAAAAGUUGAGUCUGAUUGAUUGAUAUAUGUGGACAUCAAAAGAUUCCCUUCAAAUGUACAGAUGUGGGACAUAAAGACAGACGAAUGGAGGCAUUACGAAGUGCAGAGUUUUUACUCUAGUGACUCAUUUAUCAUAACACUAACUAUGCCCUUUUUCCUGAUUAAAAUUUGCAGAAUGUGCUUCAGUUCAGCAGUGACUAAUGUUGACUGCUCUGUCUCUUGAUUAAUGAGAAAAGCGGUACAUCACUGUAGGGCAAAAAAAAAAAAAGGUUAUUUAUCUUCGAUCUCAUCCUGGACAGAUACCAUAGUUACAAUAAUGCAAAGCAAUCUGGAUUACUGAAAGUAAAAGUUAAAGUGCCACAUCUGCCCCCCCU